UUUUUUGAGAUAAUCAAUGUUUAAACUUCUCAGUCUUUGUAACACUAAUUCUUAUUCCUGCCUCGCAGCGCUCAACAGUGGACCCAUUCAGUGUAUACUGGAGAUAACCUACUGAUGAGCCAAGUACCAUCAUAUAUCUGCAUACAAAUCUGCACUUUUG